CCCGCCUGCUCGAGAUGCCCUUCUCUCUCCGUCCACCAGAGAACUGUCCCUCCCCUAACACCCAGGCCAGCAGGCACCUGCUUCGGGGCACUGUGAGAUGGUGGAGGACUAGGGCUGUGUUUUUUCAUCUGAACUGCCAGAACCAAUCACAGUGCGGGGCUCAUGACCACCAAUCAAAUCCCAUUGUUGAAUUGAAA